rnacentral:piRNA from 1 species
AAACUGAUUUAAUGAGCCUGAUC